AUUGAACGCUGGCGGCAGGCCUAACACAUGCAAGUCGAACGAGUGGCGGACGGGUGAGUACUGUCUGGGCAACUGCCCGAUGGAGGGGGAUAACUACUGGAAACGGUAGCUAAUACCGCAUACCAUCGGAUGUGCCCACAUGGGAUAAGCUAGUCGGUGUGGUAACGGCUCAUCUAGGCGACGAUCCCUAUCUGGCCUGAGAGGAAGACCAGCCACACUGGAACGGAGACACGGUCCAGACUCCUACGGGAGGCAGCAGUGGGGAAUAUUGCACAAUGGGCGCAAGCCUGAUGCAGCCAUGCCGCGUGUAUGAAGAAGGCCUUCGGGUUGUAAAGUACUUUCAGCGAGGAGGCGUUACUCGCAGAAGAAGCACCGGCUAACUCCGUGCCAGCAGCCGCGGUAAUUC
rnacentral:rRNA from 1 species